GUUGACCUCGGAUCAGGUAGGAAUACCCGCUGAACUUAAGCAUAUCAAUAAGCGGAGGAAAAGAAACCAACAGGGAUUGCCUCAGUAACGGCGAGUGAAGCGGCAACAGCUCAAAUUUGAAAUCUGGCCUCACGGUCCGAGUUGUAAUUUGUAGAGGAUGUUUUGGGCACCGCCCCGGGUUAAAUUUCUUGGAACAGAAUGUCAAAGAGGGUGAGAGUCCCGUCUUGGCCCGUGGUAGGACCUAUGUAAAACUCCUUCGACGAGUCGACUUGUUUGGGAAUGCAGGUCAAAAUGGGUGGUAAAUUUCAUCUAAAGCUAAAUAUUGGCCAGAGACCGAUAGCGCACAAGUAGAGUGAUCGAAAGAUGAAAAGCACUUUGAAAAGAGAGUUAAACAGUAUGUGAAAUUGUUGAAAGGGAAGCGCUGGCAACCAGACUCGAGCGCGGUGUUCCCCCUUGCUUCUGCCUGGGUUAUUUCACCGUGACCGGGCCAUCAUCAGUUUUGGGGGUUGGUUAAAGAUUUGGGGAAUGUAUCCUCUCUUUCGGGGGAGGACUUAUAGCCCCGGAUGUCAUGCAGCCUCCCGGGACUGAGGAACGCGCUUCGGCGAGGAUGAUGGCGUAAUGGUUGUCAGCGACCCGUCUUGAAACACGGACCAAGGAGUCUAACAUCUAUGCGAGUGUUCGGGUGUCAAACCCUUGCGCGGAAUGAAAGUGAACGGAGGUAGGAAGGCUUGAGCCUGCACUAUCGACCGAUCCUGAUGUCUUCGGAUGGAUUUGAGUAAGAGCAUAGCUGUUGGGACCCGAAAGAUGGUGAACUAUGCGUGAAUAGGGUGAAGCCAGAGGAAACUCUGGUGGAGGCUCGCAGCGGUUCUGACGUGCAAAUCGAUCGUCAAAUUUGCGUAUAGGGGCGAAAGACUAAUCGAACCAUUGGUAAUCACUACUAGGUGGUUAAGAGUCGUGUGUGAAAAGCACCGGCUAGUCGCGAGUCCGCGGCAAGGUCGUCAAAUUGCGGGAACACCCUAAAGCCUGAGGUACCGCCGACCGUCCCGAAAGGGUGGUGAGGCACCACGGAGAGAUUUCGUGGGUACGGUAACAAUCCAAGGGAUGGCCUAGGUAAAACCCUAGGCCGCUGUAAUGGGCAAUCCGCAGCCAAGCCUGUCUCUCCCUUCCGGGGGAGGGAUUGGGUGCAGUUCAUCGACUAGAUGUCGACCGGGUUCGGGGCACCAUCCAAGCCUCGAGCCUCAAGAUAUAGUCAGGCCCUCGGGGAGACCCGAGCGGAGGAACAAAGUAAAGGGGGUCGGACUCUUACAGAAAAGCCCACUUUACCCGAAUUCCUUCCCGG
rnacentral:rRNA from 1 species